rnacentral:rRNA from 1 species
AACGAACGCUGGCGGCAUGCCUAACACAUGCAAGUCGAACGAGACCUUCGGGUCUAGUGGCGCACGGGUGCGUAACGCGUGGGAACCUGCCCUUAGGUUCGGAAUAACUCCCCGAAAGGGGUGCUAAUACCGGAUAAUGUCUUCGGACCAAAGAUUUAUCGCCUUUGGAUGGGCCCGCGUUGGAUUAGCUAGUUGGUAGGGUAAAAGCCUACCAAGGCGACGAUCCAUAGCUGGUCUGAGAGGAUGAUCAGCCACACUGGGACUGAGACACGGCCCAGACGCCUACGGGAGGCAGCAGUGGGGAAUAUUGGACAAUGGGCGAAAGCUUGAUCCAGCAAUGCCGCGUGAGUGAUGAAGGCCUUAGGGUGGUAAAGCUCUUUUACCCGGGAUGAUAAUGACAGUACCGGGAGAAUAAGCUCCGGCUAACUCCGUG